rnacentral:rRNA from 1 species
CACGUAGGCACCAAGCGUUGUCCGGAUUUAUUGGGCGUAAAGAGCUCGUAGGCGGUUCGGUAAGUCGGGUGUGAAAACUUUGGGCUUAACCCAAAGCGUGCAUCCGAUACUGCUGUGACUUGAGUUCGGUAGGGGAGUGGGGAAUUCCUAGUGUAGCGGUGAAAUGCGCAGAUAUUAGGAGGAACACCGGUGGCGAAGGCGCCACUCUGGGCCGAAACUGACGCUGAGGAGCGAAAGCGUGGGUAGCAAACAGG